rnacentral:lncRNA from 1 species
CAGACCACAUAUGCAACAAUAGUCCCAUGAUUCUAAUGGAGCUGAAAGACUCCUUUCAUCUAGUAAUAUCAUAGCCCUAAACAAACCUACUGUGCUGCCAAUUAUAUGUAAGUAUAGCACAUAUGAUUAUGUACCUUGCAUAGUACUUGAUAAUGAUAAUAAAUGACAGAAGAAACUAUUUCUAUACAGCUGUAUGAAUUGUUUGUAUUUUAGAAAUUAUUAGAAAAGAAAUUAAAAAGUUUAUAAAGUAAAAAAUUACAAUAAGCUAAAGUUAAUUUAUUAUUGAAGAAAGAAAACUAUUCUUAUAAAUUUGGUGUAGACUAAGUGUCCAUCUUUUAGCUGCUUACAGUAAAAUUAGAGAGAAGAGAAAUGAUUUUAAGAUGGAAUUAAUAAUUAAAACAGAAGCAGAAUAGAAAGAUUUGGAAAACUCUCAGACUGGCCAUGUAAACAAUAAUAAAGCAUGCUUGGGAGAGAAUACUAACCGUGUGGUCAAGCGACUGUUUGCUAAAAAUAGUAAUAUGGAUGGAAGGAAGAUAGAUCCUAUUCAUCAAGAAUAUGGGACAAAGAUCAUCUAGGCAUUUCAGAUAUGUUCAGGACUGCCCCUCCAAUCACAGGCCCAGAGCAGGACCUUGAAGGCAAGGUUUCCAGAGAGAUGCUCUAAAGGCCUCAUGAUUUGUUGUCCUACACCACCUCCAGGGCAGGACACCUCUGUUUCUUCAUCCCAAUGCAGCACUCCUGGGCCACCCCAGGAGUAAAUAUGGCUUAAGUGGGCCUAGGUGCAGCUUGGGCUGCUUGGUCUGCCACUUUGGAGGGCAAAAGCAGUGGGCCUUGGCAGUGUCCACAUAUAACUAACUCUGAAAGUGCACAUAGUUUGCAAGUUAUGGGGCCACGGUAGCCUCCACCAAGAUUUCACAAGAUGUCGUGGACAGCUUGGGGCCCAGGCAGAAACUUGUCACAGAGGCAGAAUCACC